GCCGAAAUGGCGGAAUUGGCAGACGCACGGGACUCAAAAUCCCGCGAUAGCAAUAUCAUGUGGGUUCAAGUCCCACUUUCGGCACCA
rnacentral:tRNA from 2 species